rnacentral:rRNA from 1 species
AGGCCCUCUGGAUCACCUCCCACCCGUGUUUAUUUUACCUUGUUGCUUCGGCGGGCCCGCCUUAACUGGCCGCCGGGGGGCUCACGCCCCCGGGCCCGCGCCCGCCGAAGACACCCUCGAACUCUGUCUGAAGAUUGAAGUCUGAGUGAAAAUAUAAAUUAUUUAAAACUUUCAACAACGGAUCUCUUGGUUCCGGCAUCGAUGAAGAACGCAGCGAAAUGCGAUACGUAAUGUGAAUUGCAAAUUCAGUGAAUCAUCGAGUCUUUGAACGCACAUUGCGCCCCCUGGUAUUCCGGGGGGCAUGCCUGUCCGAGCGUCAUUGCUGCCCUCAAGCCCGGCUUGUGUGUUGGGCCCCGUCCUCCGAUCUCCGGGGGACGGGCCCGAAAGGCAGCGGCGGCACCGCGUCCGGUCCUCGAGCGUAUGGGGCUUUGUCACCCGCUCUGUAGGCCCGGCCGGCGCCUGCCGAUCAACCCAAAUUUUUUAUCCAGGUUGACCUCGGAUCAGGUAGGGAUACCCGCUGAACUUAAGCAUAUCAAUAAGCGGAGGAAAAGAAACCAACAGGGAUUGCCCCAGUAACGGCGAGUGAAGCGGCAAGAGCUCAAAUUUGAAAGCUGGCUCCUUCGGGGUCCGCAUUGUAAUUUGCAGAGGAUGCUUCGGGAGCGGUCCCCAUCUAAGUGCCCUGGAACGGGACGUCAUAGAGGGUGAGAAUCCCGUAUGGGAUGGGGUGUCCGCGCCCGUGUGAAGCUCCUUCGACGAGUCGAGUUGUUUGGGAAUGCAGCUCUAAAUGGGUGGUAAAUUUCAUCUAAAGCUAAAUAUUGGCCGGAGACCGAUAGCGCACAAGUAGAGUGAUCGAAAGAUGAAAAGCACUUUGAAAAGAGAGUUAAAAAGCACGUGAAAUUGUUGAAAGGGAAGCGCUUGCGACCAGACUCGCUCGCGGGGUUCAGCCGGCAUUCGUGCCGGUGUAUUUCCCCGCGGGCGGGCCAGCGUCGGUUUGGGCGGUCGGUCAAAGGCCCUCGGAAGGUAACGCCCCCAGGGGCGUCUUAUAGCCGAGGGUGCAAUGCGACCUGCCUAGACCGAGGAACGCGCUUCGGCUCGACGCUG